CGCCAUUUUUCCUCCUCCUCCUCCUCCUCCAUCUUGUCUGAGGGCAUUGGGGCGAGUUGAGGUGCCGGGCGGGUGGCCACGCGCGAGUCCACUCUUACUGCAGACGUGACCGAGGUGGGUGAGCCGGGACGUAGUGAAGGGUAUGGCGUGGUGGUGGCGGCGGCAGCGGCGGUGACGGCGGCAGCGGCGGUGACGACGGCAGCGGCGGUGACGACUUGGGUGUCCUGGGUGGCUUUAACAGUUAACUGUUGAAGACAAGUGUAGCGAGUGUCGGCGCUUGUGUCGGGAGUUCUGAGCACGGCUGUGUCAAUGGAGAUAUCGUGAACACACACAGGAAGAUUUAAGAAGUAGGAUGAUGCCACAUAGACAGACAGACAGGUGUGGAAGAAGUGCUGGCAUACUGGAGGUCAAGAGUCACGUGUUGAGUCAUAAAGGUCACCAAGAGAGGUCAUCCACUCAACCCCACUGCCAGUCCAGACGCAACACUGUCAUGAAGAUUUGCCUCAAGCUGUUUGCCUCUGUCUGCCUGUCUGUCUGUCUGUCUGUCUGUCUGUCUGCCUGCCUGCCUGCCUGCCUGCCUCCCUGCCGGCCAAUUAAUGAUCUGUGUAGUCUGUUAUACUUAUUUAAGAAGUAGGAUGAUGCCACAUAGACAGACAGACAGGUGUGGAAGAAGUGCUGGCAUACUGGAGGUCAAGAGUCGCGUGUUGAGUCAUAAAGGUCACCAAGAGAGGUCAUCCACUCAACCCCACUGCCAGUCCAGACGCAACACUGUCAUGAAGAUUUGCCUCAAGCUGUUUGCCCCUGUCUGCCUGUCUGCCUGUCUGUCUGUCUGUCUGUCUGUCUGUCUGCCUGCCUGCCUGCCUGCCUGCCUGCCUGCCUGCCUGUCUGUCUGCCUGUCUGUCUGUCUGUCUGUCUGUCUGCUUGCCUGCCUCCCUGUCUGCCUGCCUGCCUGCCUGCCUGUCUGCCUGCCUGCCUGCCUGCCUGCCUGUCUGUCUGUCUGUCUGUCUGUCUGUCUGUCUGUCUGCCUGCCUGUCUGCCAAUUAAUGAUCUGUGUAUUCUGUUAUACUUGUGAAUACUGUGUGUGUGUGUGUGUGUGUGUGUGUGUGUGUGUUGUAUUGUUGUGUAAAGUAUAUUAUUGAUUGUAUAGCACAUGUAUGGGCUGGCCAGACCUGAUGUACUGUGACAACCAAAAUCUUGACAUAUACUGCUUGAUAAAUGAAAAGUAAAAAUAGAUAAAUAAAAUAAAAAUUUUGAGCCAAACUAAUGAGGUCUUUCUCUGCUCUUUUUCAGAGGUGCGUAUGUCUGCGAGUCAGCCCAACCAAAACCUCUUGUGUCUUGCCUUAUUCUGAUAAUAGGUUCAGUUAGGUUAUUUAGUGUGGGGGUCUCUUUUCCUUACUAACAAAAUUAACAUAACCUGUCCCUUCUCGUCAAGCUGUCCGUGGGAGAUGCCCCGAGACUCUCAGGUGUUUCUCAAGCAUCCACUGCCAGUGUGCCUCUCCCAGUGCAUCCCAGCCUCUCCCAAUCCAUCCCAGCCUCUCCCAGUGCAUCCCAGCCUCUCCCAGAUCAUCCCAGUCUCUCCCAAUCCAUCCCAGCCUCUCCCAGUGCAUCCCAGCCUCUCCCAGAUCAUCCCAUCCUCUCCCAGACCAUCCCAGCCUCUCCCAGACCAUCCUAUUAACCCCCCCCAGACUAUCCCAGCCUCUCCCAGCCUCUUAAUUUUUGUCUAGGUCACCUUGAAUAGUCAGACGGGGCUCACUCAACUGUUGCAGUGUUCGUGUUGCAGUGUUGCAGACUUUCACCCAAACAAGGGGAGUAUUGCGUAUUUAUUGCAUUGAUUUUGUAUAUAUAUAUUGCUUGAUGGGAGGUGGAUGGUUGGCGGGUGGGUGGGGGAAUCUGAGGGUACCUAUGUAGGGUGUGUGUGUGUCUGUCUGUCUGUCUGUUUUUUUUUUUUUGUUUGUGUGUGUGUGUAUUUUUUUUUAUAUAUGUGUGUGUGUGUGUGUGUCUGUCUGUUUUUUUUGUUGUUUGUGUGUGCGUGUGUGUGUGUGUGAGUGUAUUUUAUAUGUGUGUGUGUGUGUGUGUAGGUAUUAGGCCAGAAUCUUAGAAUAUUUGACUUAGGUUAAUAGAAGAGUGGUAGGUUAAUAGAAGAGUGGUAAGUUGAUGUUAUUUAUGAAAGGGUUAAGUAAGGCAUAGAGAGAGACAGAGAGCUACUGAUAGGAUUAGGAUGAUAGGGAGUGUGAAUGGUUAGCUCAGAUUAUAUGGAGUGCUUCAUUCCAUAUAAUCAGAGCUUGUGUGGCAUGCUGCACUGUUGCAUACAAGUAUCUUCUUAUUUCCGUAGUGGUGGUGGUGCUGGUGGUAGUGGUGGUGGUGGUGGUGGCACGUUAUGAAUGAUAUUUUUUUGUUUUUUUUUUUGGUUCGGGGGUAUAUAGUGUUUAUAGAUAUAUAUAUAUAUAUUUUUUUUUACCCAGAUCUUUUGGUAAGAGGUCUGGGUUUAUGUAUGGAUGUAUGUACGUGUCUGGCCAGUAUUUGGUAAGAUGCUGGCUGGAUUGUGUGUCCAUGCGUGUGUGUGCGUGUGUGUGUAUGUAUGUAUGUAUGUAUGUACGUGUCUGGCCAGUAUUUGGUAAGAUGCUGGCUGGAUUGUGUGUCCAUGCGUGUGUGUGUGUGUGUAUGUAUGUAUGUAUGUAUGUACGUGUCUGGCCAGUAUUUUGGUAAGAUACUGGCUGGAUUGUGUGUGUGUGUGUGUGUGUGUGUGUGUGUGUGUGCGCAAUUUUCUUCUUUUAGGUUAACUAAUUAGUUAAAUAAAUAAAUAAAUGAGAAAAUAAAUAAAUAAAUAAAUGAGAAAAUAGGUAAAAGUAAUAAUAAGAAAAUUUGAAAGUAAAUAAAUAUAUAAAUAAAAAUAUAGGAAUAUUUAUGAGGUGGGGGAGCAGAAGGGGGGGUGGGUAAGCAAGAUUAGGAGUGCUGGUAGAAGUAGGGGGUGAAGGGGCGGGUGAGGAAGCUGUAUGGAUGACCACAAUAGGGGGGGCGGGUUGGGGUAGGAUGUGGGUGAUAUAUAAUUUGCUAAUAUUUGAACCCUUUAUAUACCGACAUGCAUACUGACACAUUUCUCUCAGACAGAUAAGCCUGGCUGGUGUGAGAGAGAGAGGGAGUGGGGGGUUCUGUUUCAUUAUAAUGUGGAUGAGGGGACAAGAGAGCCAGUGUUCCAAGUACCACCACCAUCACCACUGCCACCACCACCACCACCAUCAGGAGCACAGAUUCACUGAAGUCUCUACCAAGAUUUCUUUGAGUUUUUUGAUAAAUUUAACUUCCAGGAGAGAGAGAGAUGCUGAUUGUUAAAGGCAGUGUGUGAAGCCUGCCCACUGUCUUUGUAUAUACAGAAGGUGGAAUUUGAGUCGGCCAAGCCUCAGAAAUGCAGGAAGGAUUAGCGGUGAUGACUGCAGGCUGCCAUCGACCCGCAGGUGUGAUGGUGCCCGACCAGCUGGUACACAUCAGUGAGAUGGUGGUGGUGCUGGAAAACAGCUGGUUUGCCAAGUGCAGCGUCAGGCAGGCCGCCCGCCCACACAGUCACCAGAAGGAUCACAGGUCAUCACAGGAAUCAAAUGCAGCAUCAGUAUGGCUCACCAAACACUUCCCCUCACACUGGUGGUGUUGACCUGCCUUGUGAACACCUGAUCUCCUGUGCUCCUGUCCUUCACAGCUCUCCAGGUGACAUCAGAUGUGGAUGAGGGGACAAGAGAGCCAGUGUUCCAAGUACCACCACCAUCACCACUGCCACCACCACCACCACCAUCAGGAGCACAGAUUCACUGAAGUCUCUACCAAGAUUUCUUUGAGUUUUUUGAUAAAUUUAACUUCCAGGAGAGAGAGAGACAGAGAUGAUUGUUACUGGCAGUGUGUGAAGCCUGCCCACUGUCUUUGUAUAUACAGAAGGUGGAAUUUGAGUCGGCCAAGCCUCAGAAAUGCAGGAAGGAUUAGCGGUGAUGACUGCAGGCUGCCAUCGACCCGCAGGUGUGAUGGUGCCCGACCAGCUGGUACACAUCAGUGAGAUGGUGGUGGUGCUGGAAAACAGCUGGUUUGCCAAGGGCAGCGCCAGGCAGGCUGCCUGCCCACACAGUCACCAGAAGGAUCACAGGUUCCAUUCACAGGUAAAGCCUCAUCAGACACAACACAGAGUGCAGCUUCUUCUGAGAUACCAGUGGUCUGAAGUGAAGCUGCAAGAAGUUUUCCCAGCACAGAUCUUCACUUACAUUUCUGUUGCCAGCACAUCUCCCGUCAGGUCUUGGGAGCACCGGGUGUUGUUCGGCAGGAAGGAGGCCAGGUUGUUAGGGCACGGCCUCACCCCACUGUCGCACACACCCACAGGCAUGAGGGGUGCCAGCCAGCAGGCCACGUCCCCAACACAGCUCCCACCUGCAUCCUGACCUCAUUCAGCAUCAACACCAGCCACACAGAAAAGUGAUGCUCCUGCAACAGCUGACGUUUACCUUUGCCAGUCACCUCGUCCAUGCUGAACUGCUCCACCAGCACCUUUGAAGCAGCUGUCCUACAUCCUCCUGGAAGCAACAGCAUACAGUCAUCACAGGAAUCAAAUGCAGCAUCAGUAUGGCUCACCAAACACUUCCCCUCACACUGGUGGUGUUGACCUGCCUUGUGAACACCUGAUCUCCUGUGCUCCUGUCCUUCACAGCUCUCCAGGUGACAUCAGCUGAGUGCAGCUGUCGGUGACUGCAGGAAUGGACCUCAGAUGGUGGAUACAGCAUUACCAAGUCAAGAAGGAGACACUGUGAUGUGGCUGCAGGUGGAUAGAUACCAGGAUAUGUGACCACCACCACCACCACCACCACCACCAUUGGAGAUGCCCCUCGCUAGUUGCACAUUACGGCCCUGUUGUGUACCCCGGUGGCCUUCAUAGUUGACCGCUGAGUGCAGCUGUCAGUGACUGCAGGAAUGGACCUCAGAUGGUGGACACAGCAUUACCAAGUCAAGAAGUUGUCCAGUAUUUUAUCUCUGCUCUCAAACAAGCAAUGACCAGUGGUGGUGUUGUUCAUGUCUGGCUUGUGUGUGUGUGUGUGUGUGUGUGUGUGUGUGAGUUUGUUCAUCCAUUAUGAUUUGAAGAGAUUGUGUUUGUAUUUUUAUUGUGGUACUCUGUGAUUAUACUUUGAAAUUA